ensembl:lncRNA
GGCUGUUUGAGAGCUCGGGGGACCGACGUACCUCACGUUAAGCUUGUGUAACUAAAGUUUUAUAGUUUACGGAUAGUCCAGUUUACAGAUAGUUCACGAAAAGUGACACUUUAACUUUGUUAUUGUGUGGAGAUCGAAAGCCUUCACGCAGCUGGAGGGAGUAGUAGUGUUGAUUAGCCGUAUCAAUGCGGUUAUUGUUAGCUGACUAAAAAGCGAGCUAUGGACCGACCAUCUAGGAAGACAAAGACUGUGAAUUACUGUGAGACCAAGGACUUCGAUGAUGAUGAGGAUUUUGCCUGUGUGAAGGCCCCACCCAGCAAAAAGGUCAGGGAGGAUGUGAAACAAGAACAGAAGAAAUCAUUAAGCAAGUCCUCCAGUCAAGAGGCCACCUCACAAUUAAGCCAGAAGAACAGGUAGGUGGCGAGUUAAUCUGACACUGGCUGUGACAAUCAGGUAAGAGGGCUCAUGAAACCUGCUGUGAAUAAAUGUUACCAGUUUUACUGCUGUUUAGUUUGUUUCCAGCAGAGGGCGCGCCACUUGUGUAUAUCCUGCAAUAUUGGGAAGUUUUGCUUCAGUCCGUUAGGCAGCUACAGGUUACCUAUCUACCUGCAGGGGGCGGUGGUGCCACCACUCUGUGGGUUACUCUUGCUUGUGCUGCCCUUGGUUAAUCCGCUAUCUGCUAAGAAUGAAGUUCUAAAGCACAAAAGAGCUGAAGUGAAGCUGAGCAUUAAAAAUAAUCAAGUGUCCACUGCAGCCACUGUCUUUGCUUUUCAUCUUGUACCUUUGCUUUUCUUUUUUUGCGUUCCUUUGUCGCUCCUUUCCCUGUUUUGGCCCACUUCUCAGCUCGUCAGCAUUUGGUUGAUACACAC